rnacentral:rRNA from 1 species
AGAGUUUGAUCCUGGCUCAGGACGAACGCUGGCGGCGUGCCUAACACAUGCAAGUCGAACGAAGCUUUGAGGAGCUUGCUUUUUAAAGCUUAGUGGCGGACGGGUGAGUAACGCGUGAGCAACCUGCCUCUCAGAGGGGAAUAACGUUUUGAAAAGAACGCUAAUACCGCAUAACAUAUCGGAACCGCAUGAUUCUGAUAUCAAAGGAGCAAUCCGCUGAGAGAUGGGCUCGCGUCCGAUUAGUUAGUUGGUGAGGUAACGGCUCACCAAGACUACGAUCGGUAGCCGGACUGAGAGGUUGAUCGGCCACAUUGGGACUGAGACACGGCCCAGACUCCUACGGGAGGCAGCAGUGGGGGAUAUUGCGCAAUGGGGGAAACCCUGACGCAGCAACGCCGCGUGAAGGAAGAAGGUCUUCGGAUUGUAAACUUCUUUUGUCAGGGACGAAGAAAGUGACGGUACCUGACGAAUAAGCUCCGGCUAACUACGUGCCAGCAGCCGCGGUAAUACGUAGGGAGCGAGCGUUGUCCGGAUUUACUGGGUGUAAAGGGUGCGUAGGCGGCCGAGCAAGUCAGUUGUGAAAACUAUGGGCUUAACCCAUAACGUGCAAUUGAAACUGUCCGGCUUGAGUGAAGUAGAGGUAGGCGGAAUUCCCGGUGUAGCGGUGAAAUGCGUAGAGAUCGGGAGGAACACCAGUGGCGAAGGCGGCCUACUGGGCUUUAACUGACGCUGAGGCACGAAAGCAUGGGUAGCAAACAGGAUUAGAUACCCUGGUAGUCCAUGCCGUAAACGAUGAUUACUAGGUGUUGGAGGAUUGACCCCUUCAGUGCCGCAGUUAACACAAUAAGUAAUCCACCUGGGGAGUACGACCGCAAGGUUGAAACUCAAAGGAAUUGACGGGGGCCCGCACAAGCAGUGGAGUAUGUGGUUUAAUUCGAAGCAACGCGAAGAACCUUACCAGGUCUUGACAUCCUGAGAAUCCUUAAGAGAUUAGGGAGUGCCUUCGGGAACUCAGAGACAGGUGGUGCAUGGUUGUCGUCAGCUCGUGUCGUGAGAUGUUGGGUUAAGU